GGUGGAUGUAGCUCAGCUGGUUAGAGCACUAGUUUGUGGCACUAGGGGUCGUGGGUUCGAAUCCCAUCUUCCACCC
rnacentral:tRNA from 1 species